AGUGAACGCUGGCGGUAGGCCUAACACAUGCAAGUCGAACGGCAGCACAGUAAGAGCUUGCUCUUACGGGUGGCGAGUGGCGGACGGGUGAGGAAUACAUCGGAAUCUACUUUUUCGUGGGGGAUAACGUAGGGAAACUUACGCUAAUACCGCAUACGACCUACGGGUGAAAGCAGGGGAUCUUCGGACCUUGCGCGAUUGAAUGAGCCGAUGUCGGAUUAGCUAGUUGGCGGGGUAAAGGCCCACCAAGGCGACGAUCCGUAGCUGGUCUGAGAGGAUGAUCAGCAAAACUGGAACUGGGACACGGGCCAGACUCCUACGAGAGGCAGCAGUGGGGAAUAUUGGACAAUGGGCGGAAGCCUGAUCCAGCCAUACCGCGUGGGUGAAGAAGGCCUUCGGGUUGUAAAGCCCUUUUGUUGGGAAAAAAAAGCAGCAGGUUAAUACCCCGCUGUUCUGACGGUACCCAAAGAAUAAGCACCGGCUAACUUCGUG
rnacentral:rRNA from 1 species